rnacentral:rRNA from 1 species
ACCCGCUGAACUUAAGCAUAUCAAUAAGCGGAGGAGAAGAAACUAACAGGGAUUGCCCUAGUAACGGCGAGUGAAGCGGCAACAGCUCACAUUUGAAAUCUGGCUCUUUCAGAGACCGAGUUGUGAUUUGCAGAGAGCGCUUUGCCGCUGGCGGCGGGCCAAGUUCUUUGGAACAAGACGUCACCAAGGGUGAGAAUCCCGUACGCGGUCACUAUCCUUCCCCGUGGAACGACCCUUCGACGAGGCGAGUUGUUUGUUAAUGCUGCUCUAAAUGGGAGGUAAAUUUCUUCUAAAGCUGAAUACUGCCCAGAGACCAACAGCGCACAAGUAGAGUGAGCGAAAGAUGAAAAGCACUUAGGAAAGAGAGUCAAAUAGCACGAGAUAUUGUUGAAAGGAAAGCGCUUGCAGCCAGACUUGCCUGUAGUUGCUUAUCCGGACUUUUGUCCGGUGCACUCUUCUAUGGGCAGGCCAGCAUCCGGUUAGGCGGUUAGAUAAAGGUCUCUGUCACGUACCUCUCUUCGGGAGGCCUAUAUAGGGUAGACGACAUGUAACCAGCUCAGACUGAGGUCCGCGCAUCUGCUAAGAUGCUGGCGUAAUGGCUGUAAGCGGCCCGUCUUGAAACACGG